AUACGUAGGGGGCGAGCGUUGUCCGGAAUGAUUGGGCGUAAAGGGCGCGUAGGCGGCCCGGUAAGUCUGGAGUGAAAGUCCUGUUUUUAAGAUGGGAAUUGCUUUGGAUACUGUCGGGCUUGAGUGCAGGAGAGGUAAGUGGAAUUCCCAGUGUAGCGGUGAAAUGCGUAGAGAUUGGGAGGAACACCAGUGGCGAAGGCGACUUACUGGACUGUAACUGACGCUGAGGCGCGAAAGUGUGGGGAGCAAACAGGAUUAGAUACCCUGGUAGUCCACACUGUAAACGAUGAAUGCUAGGUGUAGGGGGUAUCGACCUCUUCUGUGCCGCAGUCAACACAAUAAGCAUUCCGCCUGGGGAGUACGGACGCAAGGUUGAAACGCAAAGGAAUUGACGGGG
rnacentral:rRNA from 1 species